UAUAAUUCUGUCACAUGUCUGAUGAUGUAAACAUUGCCAAAUACAGCAUACAUUGCUUUAAAUGGCUUUUUUUAUUGACAGUUGUACAAGCUCACGGCCUAAAGGAAUAUUUGCUGUUGAUUUGAAACGGUCAAGUCCAUCUUUUGAUGUAUAAUUCAAGCGUGCUAAAUUAAUAAUGCUUAGCAUUUGUUAUUGGAGCACUGAAUCGCUGGCAGGAGGGCAGAACAGUGUUUGGCAGAGAUGACAGAGAUGAGUUUCACUGCUGCUGCUGCUGCUGCUGGCAAACGCUGAAUAAAACUGAUGUCAAUACAAUACGAUCCUCUCUCAGGGCCGCUUCAUCACCGCCAGCAAAUAACUUUCAUUUGCAAAUAUGCAUGGAUUUUUCAUCAACGUUUAUAAUAAGCAUGAUAGAAAAUGAAAGGAGUGACACAUAUUGCACAUUAUAAAUUGAUAGUUUUACUCUGAGAUUCACUUGAGAAGAAGAGAUCAUUUAUAUUUUAACUAGACAAGGAAAGUUUGACAAACACUCACCUGAAAGGGUUUAUAAAAGCUCUGUGGAGUGAAAACUUUUCCAAUAGCUGUUAAAGUGUUUUGGCUGGUUGCUAGGGUGCCGUUACCAAUUUGUUCUGCUUGGUUGCUAAGAAGUUUUAAAUGGUUGCUAGGCUACUUCUAAAGUAUUCUAAUUGGUUGCUAAGGUGUUGCCAGGCAGUUGCUAUGGUGGUUGCUAAGGUGUUGCUUAGCAGUUGCAAAAGUGUUCUAAAUGGAUCCUAGAGUGUUGAUAAGUGGUUGCUAUUGUGUUCAUGGAGGUUUCUAGGUAGUUGCUAGGGUUGUUGCUAAGGUGUUGCCAGGGAGUUGCUAGGGCAGUUGGU
ensembl:lncRNA